rnacentral:rRNA from 1 species
GAUGAACGCUGGCGGCGUGCCUAAUACAUGCAAGUCGAGCGAACGGACGAGAAGCUUGCUUCUCUGAUGUUAGCGGCGGACGGGUGAGUAACACGUGGAUAACCUACCUAUAAGACUGGGAUAACUUCGGGAAACCGUAGCUAAUACUGGAUAAUAUUUUGAACCGCAUGGUUCAAAAGUUAAAGACGGUCUUGCUGUCACUUAUAGAUGGAUCCGCGCUGCAUUAGCUAGUUGGUAAGGUAACGGCUUACCAAGGCAACGAUGCAUAGCCGACCUGAGAGGGUGAUCGGCCACACUGGAACUGAGACACGGUCCAGACUCCUACGGGAGGCAGCAGUAGGGAAUCUUCCGCAAUGGGCGAAAGCCUGACGGAGCAACGCCGCGUGAGUGAUGAAGGUCUUCGGAUCGUAAAACUCUGUUAUUAGGGAAGAACAUAUGUGGAAGUAACUGUGCACAUCUUGACGGUACCUAAUCAGAAAGCCACGGCUAACUACGUG